rnacentral:rRNA from 1 species
GGUCAAGUUUUUAAGGGCACACGGUGGAUGCCUUGGCAUUAGGAGCCGAAGAAGGACGUAGGAAUCUGCGAUAAGCCUCGGGGAGUUGAUAACCAAACUUUGAUCCGAGGGUGUCCGAAUGGGGGAACCCCGCUACCCGGUGUAAGCCGAGGUGGUGACCUGCACCUGAAUAUAUAGGGUGUGUGGAGGGAACGUGGGGAAGUGAAACAUCUCAGUACCCACAGGAAGAGAAAACAAUAGUGAUUCCGUUAGUAGUGGCGAGCGAACGCGGAUCAGGCUAAACCGUGUCAUGUGUGAUAGCCGGCGGGCGUUGCAUGGUGCGGGGUUGUGGGACUUACCGAUCUAGUUCUGCCGGACUAGGAAGGGGAAUGGUGCAUGUAUAGGUGAACGGUUUUGAAUGGCCGACCGUAGAGGGUGAGAGUCCCGUAACUGAAAUGCAGUGCACUCCCUGGUGAGUAUCCCAAGUAGCACGGGGCCCGAGAAAUCCCGUGUGAAUCUGUCAGGACCACCUGAUAAGCCUAAAUACUACCUAAUGACCGAUAGCGGACAAGUACCGUGAGGGAAAGGUGAAAAGUACCCCGGGAGGGGAGUGAAAUAGUACCUGAAACCGUGUGCUUACAAUCCGUCAGAGCAAGCGUGCCCCUUUGGGGGUAGUUGUUCUUGUGAUGGCGUGCCUUUUGAAGAAUGAGCCUGCGAGUUAGUGUUACGUCGCGAGGUUAACCCGUGUGGGGAAGCCGUAGCGAAAGCGAGUCUGAAUAGGGCGAGUUUAGUGGCGUGAUCUAGACCCGAAGCGAAGUGAUCUACCCAUGGCCAGGUUGAAGCGCGUGUAAGAGCGCGUGGAGGACCGAACCCACUUCAGUUGAAAAUGGAGGGGAUGAGCUGUGGGUAGGGGUGAAAGGCCAAUCAAACUUCGUGAUAGCUGGUUCUCCCCGAAAUGCAUUUAGGUGCAGCGUUGCGUGUUUCUUACUGGAGGUAGAGCUACUGGAUGGCUAAUGGGCCCUACAAGGUUACUGACGUCAGCCAAACUCCGAAUGCCGGUAAGUCAGAGCGUAGCAGUGAGACUGUGGGGGAUAAGCUUCAUAGUCGAGAGGGAAACAGCCCAGACCACCAACUAAGGCCCCUAAGCGUGUGCUAAGUGGGAAAGGAUGUGGGAUUGCUUAGACAACCAGGAGGUUGGCUUAGAAGCAGCCAUCCUUAAAAGAGUGCGUAAUAGCUCACUGGUCAAGUGAUUCCGCGCCGACAAUGUAGCGGGGCUCAAGUACACCGCCGAAGUUGUGGAUUUCAAACAUUACCCUAACAAGACCUGUUCUUGUUCAGGGGUUUGGAGUGGUAGGGGAGCGUCGUGUAGGCAUUGAAGCCGCAGUGUGAACUAGCGGUGGAGCCUACACGAGUGAGAAUGCAGGCAUGAGUAGCGAAAGACGGGUGAGAAACCCGUCCGCCGAAUGAUCAAGGGUUCCAGGGUCAAGCUAAUCUGCCCUGGGUAAGUCGGGACCUAAGGCGAGGCCGACAGGCGUAGUCGAUGGACAACGGGUUGAUAUUCCCGUACCGGUGAAGAACCGCCAAUAUUGAACCAGUGAUACUAACCACCCAAAACACCACUGCGUGUCCUUCGGGACCAGGGUGUGUGUGGAGCGUGGGAUCUGAACUGGGGAGGUAAACGUAUUAACAGGUGUGACGCAGGAAGGUAGCCGAGCCGGGCGAUGGUAGUCCCGGUCUAAGGACGUAGGAAACACGAUAGGCAAAUCCGUUGUGUUGUCUUCAAUGACGAUUCUGAGAUCUGAUGGGACCCCCUUACGGGGGAAUUCGGUGAUCCUAUGCUGCCUAGAAAAGCAUCGACGUGAGGUUCUAACUGCCCGUACCCCAAACCGACACAGGUGAUCAGGUAGAGAAUACUAAGGCGAUCGAGAGAAUUAUGGUUAAGGAACUCGGCAAAAUGCCCCCGUAACUUCGGGAGAAGGGGGGCCUGCCUCGUGAAGGACACUAGCUGUCCGUGAGCGAGUGUGGGCCGCAGAGACCAGGGGGAAGCGACUGUUUACUAAAAACACAGGUCCGUGCGAAGUCGCAAGACGAUGUAUACGGACUGACUCCUGCCCGGUGCUGGAAGGUUAAGAGGACCGGUUAGCACACUUGUGUGCGAAGCUGAGAAUUUAAGCCCCAGUAAACGGCGGUGGUAACUAUAACCAUCCUAAGGUAGCGAAAUUCCUUGUCGGGUAAGUUCCGACCUGCACGAAUGGAGUAACGACUUCCCCGCUGUCUCAACCAUAAACUCGGCGAAAUUGCAGUACGAGUAAAGAUGCUCGUUACGCGCAGCAGGACGGAAAGACCCCGAGACCUUUACUAUAGUUUGGUAUUGGUGUUCGGAGUGGCUUGUGUAGGAUAGGUGGGAGACUGUGAAACCGCAACGCUAGUUGUGGUGGAGUCAUCGUUGAAAUACCACUCUGGUCACUUUGGACAUCUAACUUCGGCCCGUAAUCCGGGUCAGGGACAGUGCCUGAUGGGUAGUUUAACUGGGGCGGUUGCCUCCUAAAAAGUAACGGAGGCGCCCAAAGGUUCCCUCAGCCUGGUUGGCAAUCAGGUUUCGAGUGUAAGUGCACAAGGGAGCUUGACUGUGAGAGGGACACCUCGAGCAGGGACGAAAGUCGGGACUAGUGAUCCGGCGGCACAUUGUGGAAUGGCCGUCGCUCAACGGAUAAAAGGUACCUCGGGGAUAACAGGCUGAUCUUGCCCAAGAGUCCAUAUCGACGGCAUGGUUUGGCACCUCGAUGUCGGCUCGUCGCAUCCUGGGGCUGGAGUAGGUCCCAAGGGUUGGGCUGUUCGCCCAUUAAAGCGGUACGCGAGCUGGGUUUAGAACGUCGUGAGACAGUUCGGUCCCUAUCCGCUGCGCGCGCAGGAAAUUUGAGAAGAGCUGUCCUUAGUACGAGAGGACCGGGACGGACGAACCUCUGGUGUGUCAGUUGUACUGCCAAGUGCAUCGCUGAUUAGCUACGUUCGGAAGGGAUAACCGCUGAAAGCAUCUAAGCGGGAAGCCCACUUCAAGAUGAGAUUUCCAUACACAGUUAUGUGUGAGAGGCCCCCAGCUAGACCACUGGGUUGAUAGGCCGGACGUGGAAGCGAGGACUAAAGACUCGUGAAGCUGACCGGUACUAAUAGGCCGAUAACUUACACCAC